GUGGUGAAUCUUGCGCAAUGGGCGAAAGCCUGACGCAGCCAUGCCGCGUGAAUGAUGAAGGUCUUAGGAUUGUAAAAUUCUUUCACCGGGGACGAUAAUGACGGUACCCGGAGAAGAAGCUCCGGCUAACUUCGUGCCAGCAGCCGCGGUAAUACGGAGGGUGCAAGCGUUAUCCGGAAUCACUGGGUUUAAAGGGUACGUAGGCGGUUAAUUAAGUCAGUAGUGAAAGACUGUCGCUCAACGACGGAUGUGCUAUUGAUACUGGUUAACUUGAAUCAGGUCAGAGUUGGCGGAAUGGGUCAUGUAGCGGUGAAAUGCUUAGAUAUGACUUGGAACACCGAUAGCGAAGGCAGCUGACUGAGCCUUGAUUGACGCUGAGGUACGAAAGUGUGGGUAGCGAACAGGAUUAGAUACCCCUGUAGUCC
rnacentral:rRNA from 1 species